UACGAAGGGUGCAAGCGUUACUCGGAAUUACUGGGCUUAGAGCGUGCGUAGGUGGUUUGUUAAGUCUGCUGUGAAAGCCUCGGGCUCAACCUGGGAAUGGCAGUGGAUACUGGCAAGCUAGAGUGCGGUAGAGGGGUGUGGAAUUCCCGGUGUAGCGGUGAAAUGCGUAGAGAUCGGGAGGAACACCAGUGGCGAAGGCGGCACCCUGGACCAGCACUGACACUGAGGCACGAAAGCGUGGGGAGCAAACAGG
rnacentral:rRNA from 1 species